AUACGGAGGGUGCAAGCGUUAUUCGGAAUCACGGGGCGUAAAGGACGCGUAGGCGGGUUGGCAAGUCAGAUGUGAAAUCCUACAGCUUAACUGUAGAACUGCAUUUGAAACUGCUAACCUAGAGUAUGGGAGGGGGAGAUGGAAUUAGUGGUGUAGGGGUAAAAUCCGUGGAUAUCACUAGGAAUACCGAAAGCGAAGGCGAUCUCCUGGAACAUAACUGACGCUAAGGCGUGAAAGCGUGGGGAGCAAACAGGAUUAGAAACCCUAGUAGUCC
rnacentral:rRNA from 1 species